UACGUAGGGUGCAAGCGUUAAUCGGAAUUACUGGGCGUAAAGCGUGCGCAGGCGGUGAUGUAAGACAGAUGUGAAAUCCCGGGCUCAACCUGGGAACUGCAUUUGUGACUGCAUCGCUGGAGUGCGGCAGAGGGGGAUGGAAUUCCGCGUGUAGCAGUGAAAUGCGUAGAUAUGCGGAGGAACACCGAUGGCGAAGGCAAUCCCUGGGCCUGCACUGACGCUCAUGCACGAAAGCGUGGGGAGCAAACAGG
rnacentral:rRNA from 1 species